UACGGAAGGGGCAAGCGUUGUUCGGAAUCAUUGGGCGUAAAGGGCGCGUAGGUGGUUCUGUAUGUCUACCGUGAAAGCGUACGGCUCAACCGUAUUUUGUCGGUGGAAACUGCAGGACUUGAGGCUGGGAGGGGCUGGUGGAAUUCCCUGUGUAGCGGCGAAAUGCGUAGAGAUGGGGGAGAACACUCGUGGCGAAGGCGGCCAGCUAGACCAGUUCUGACACUGAGGCGCGACAGCGUGGGGAGCAAACAGG
rnacentral:rRNA from 1 species